UUGAUUCUAUUCACUCUUAAUCCCCUUUUAUUUGUUAUCUGUCCAUUUCAAUAAGCCGCUGCUUGCCAACGGCUCGUUCUCUCAAGGUUGUAUGCAGAUGUGUUGUGCUGUCUUUUUACAUCAGCAAAAAUGUCAGGUCGGCUGGUCCUUCCAAUUAUUCUCCUCCCCACCCCUGUGAGAUCUUACCAUGGGCGCUUGCUGCUUUCACUGCUUUUCUUCAGCCAGGAGACUGGGGCUGAUUUUUGAGAGUAAGAUUUCAUGAGAGCUUACACGAUAGUGCUUUGCUAAAAUCCAGAUGACUGAUAAGGACUAACCCCACAGCGUGCAGGUCAUACUGGAAUGAUGCUUUUAGUGUAAGAAAAUUAUCUAAAUAUGCAUUUUGAUUUUGGUGAUAUAGAUCUGAAAUGCUGAGCAAUCAAAUUUUCAGUGGCGUGGGGUGGCUGCAUCCCCACACUGCGAGGCUGUGCAAGGGGCUGCUGCUCUCCAGGGAGGAUGCAGGAGGGGAACAUUCCCUCUUCCCAUUUCCCAAGGGUCCUGGCUGCGCACCGUGGGCCUGGGGCGCCAGGGAUGGGGGAGUGGGGCAGAAUGGGUGGCCCAGGCUGUGGUAGCCUGGCUUGGCGUUGGGUGCCAGGGUUGCAGCUGAGGAGGUGCUGAGCUCCCACAGGAGCAGGGGGCAGUGCUGCACUGUCACCCAAAGCUGAGGCCGAGUGAAUCAGUGUUUCUGCUUUUCCACUUAAAGAGGAAACAAGAGUGACUUCCCUCUCCCUUGCUGUCAGCUCGCUGCUGCCUUGCUCUCCACCUGCUCUUGCUGCAUUGAAGCCUCUGGUGGUUUCCAGCAGGCACAAAGGUGCAGUUACUACCACAGAUCCCUGGGGACAUUGUGCCACAGCACCCCAGGCACCUGGGUGCUGUCUCCCACUCUCCAGUGACUCAGGGCUGCUCCCAAGGGUGGUCAGGGCAGGCCCAGGAACCAAGGAGCUCCCCAGACCCAGCAGCCUGGGGGAGCCAAGGGGUUCCCCUGGGAGACAUGCACCCUGCCUGCUGCAGUGCUCUGGGCCCAGAGACCCAGCACCAGAUCCUGCAGCACUGGUCCCAUCCCUGCAGCUUUACAGAGACGGUGAGAUGUCCCAGAGAAUAUUUUCCCUGUUGACAGCUCCAGAAACAGCAAAGCACUUCCUUGGGCUGGGCACCCAUGCAGGGGACACUGCAGGUGCUGAUGAGGGGACAGAGCAGCAUGGGUGCACAGGGCAGCGGGGGGAGCGGGGGGGCUACCAGCAUCCCCCAUGCUAUGGGAUGGUUCACUGCCACCAUCCCCAGAGCCAAGCAGGCAGCCCCUGGGACAAACUCAAAAUGCAUUAUUUCCAUCUCCUUGCCGCUGCCAAGAGGCCUCAAGUUUCUUUUCUGUGGUCGCUUGCACAGAGACAGGAUGGGCAAACUCAGCCAGCAGCCUCUGUGCUUGGGACAGGAGCUGGGCAGCUUUUGUGGAGGAGCUGAUGGGCUCCUGCCUCUCCCCACCAGGCAGCCAGGACUUUGACAUUGUCAGUACCCGGGUUUCUUCAGGGGACACUUGGCACUUCCAGCAGGGCAGCGGGGAUCUUUUGGGGACCUACAUUCAAAUUUCUGCAUUUGAAACCCCUUUUCUGUAGCUGUAAAACAACAUCUUCAUCAGGGCAGGAUGCAAAUACUCACAAGCACUCUUCCCCACGCUACCAGGCUGUCCCCAGUUCAGCCACCACUCCAGAGCCCAUGACGUGGCAAAGGCUGGGAUGUCCUUUCCAGUUCCCUGGGUGUUGCAGGACCCUGGGGCAAGGUGCCAUGGAGCAGAAGAAUGUGGCUGUGUGCCCCAGGCUGGGGCCAGGCAUGCAGCCAAGCCUCCCCCCUGCCAACACGUCCUACUGCGGCCGCAGCUCCUUGGGGCUUUGCCCAGAGAGGCACAAGGGGCAUCUGCAGCAAGACAUGGAGGCAGGAGAUCUUUUUGCUGUGCCAGGAUGUCUGUCCCGCGCAGGGACCUCACUGUCCAGGAAAGCUUUGCCAAACCUCCCCUCCAGUGCUGAGCCAGCGCUGGCUGCAUCAGCUGAACCCUCCUCCAAGACCUCGUAGAGCCUGGAACUGAAGGACUGUCUAGACGUCAUCCCACGCUCAUUAAACAUUCAUUUCCUAUAAUGAAAUAGCUUUUAAUUUAUUAACCGCUCCACUGUUCCUUAAGGUUCCCGCGCUCAGUGCAGCCUCACUGCAGGACACGCUCGUGGCCCCCACAGACAAUGCUUUCCAAAGGGAGCUGGAGGAGAUUGUUAGGGAGAAGAGGCACAAAGCACACAGCCCCCACCCCCACAGCAACUCAUC